CCAAUAGCGUAUAUUAAAGUUGUUGCAGUUAAAAAGCUCGUAGUUGAAUUUCGGGAUCAAUAUGUCGGUCGUGCCUCGGUACGUACUGGCGUCAUUGGUUUCUCCCUUCUGAAGAACCUCGAUGUCAUUUAUUUGGUGUCGUGGGGAAUCAGGACUGUUACUUUGAAAAAAUUAGAGUGUUUAAAGCAGGCUCACGCUUGAAUACAUUAGCAUGGAAUAAUGAAAUAGGACGUUUGAUUCUAUUUUGUUGGUUUCUAGGAUCGACGUAAUGAUUAAUAGGGAUAGUUGGGGGCAUUAGUAUUCAAUUGUCAGAGGUGAAAUUCCUGGAUUUAUUGAAGACUAACUACUGCGAAAGCAUUUGCCAAGGAUGUUUUCAUUAAUCAAGAACGAAAGUUAGGGGAUCGAAGACGAUCAGAUACCGUCGUAGUCUUAACCAUAAACUAUGCCGACUAGGGAUCGGAUGAUGUUAAUUUUUUAAUGACUCAUUCGGCGCCUUACG
rnacentral:rRNA from 1 species